GACGAACGCUGGCGGCGUGCCUAACACAUGCAAGUCGAGCGGAGACAGUGAGUAGCUUGCUACGAGCUGUUUUAGCGGCGGACGGGUGAGUAACGCGUGAGCAACCUUUCCCAGACAGGGGAAUAACACACCGAAAGGUGUACUAAUACCGCAUAAGACCACGGGAUCACAUGGUUCUGAGGUAAAAGAUUUAUCGGUUUGGGGCGGGCUCGCGUCCGAUUAGGUAGUUGGUGAGGUAACGGCCCACCAAGCCGACGAUCGGUAGCCGACCUGAGAGGGUGAUCGGCCACAUUGGGACUGAGACACGGCCCAAACUCCUACGGGAGGCAGCAGUGGGGAAUAUUGGGCAAUGGGGGGAACCCUGACCCAGCAACGCCGCGUGGAGGAAGAAGGUUUUCGGAUCGUAAACUCCUGUCCUUGGAGACGAGUAGAAGACGGUAUCCAAGGAGGAAGCCCCGGCUAACUACGUGCCAGCAGCCGCGGUAAUACGUAGGGGGCAAGCGUUGUCCGGAAUAAUUGGGCGUAAAGGGCGCGUAGGCGGCUCGGUAAGUCUGGAGUGAAAGUCCUGCUUUUAAGGUGGGAAUUGCUUUGGAUACUGUCGGGCUUGAGUGCAGGAGAGGUUAGUGGAAUUCCCAGUGUAGCGGUGAAAUGCGUAGAGAUUGGGAGGAACACCAGUGGCGAAGGCGACUAACUGGACUGUAACUGACGCUGAGGCGCGAAAGUGUGGGGAGCAAACAGGAUUAGAUACCCUGGUAGUCCACACUGUAAACGAUGAAUGCUAGGUGUAGGGGGUAUCGACCCCUUCUGUGCCGCAGUUAACACAAUAAGCAUUCCGCCUGGGGAGUACGGCCGCAAGGUUGCAACUCAAAUGAAUUGACGG
rnacentral:rRNA from 1 species